rnacentral:rRNA from 1 species
UGCCUCAAGCGGUCGGAGCAACGUAAGUUGUGACGGCGUGCCUUUUGCAUAAUGAACCUACGAGUUACUUUCUCCGGCAAGGUUAAGGGCUUCAGGCCCGGAGCCGAAGCGAAAGCGAGUCUUAAUAGGGCGUGAUAGUCGGAGUGAGUAGACGCGAAACCAAGUGAUCUACCCUUGGUCAGGAUGAAGGUUGGGUAACACCAACUGGAGGUCCGAAUGGGUAUACGUUGAAAAGUGUUCCAAUGAACUGAGGGUAGGGGUGAAAGGCUAAUCAAACUUGGAGAUAGCUCGUACUCCCCGAAAUGCAUUUAGGUGCAGCCUUUAUUUAGUAUAGCAUGAGGUAGAGCGACUGAUUGGAUGCGAGGGCUUCACCGCCUAUCAAGUCCAGAUAAACUCCGAAUGCGUGCUAUAUAUUGAUAAGGAGUGAGGGCGCGGGUGCUAAGGUCCGCGUCCGAGAGGAGAAGAAUCCAGACCAUCAGCUAAGGUCCCCAAAUAACAGUUAAGUUGAACUAACGAAGUCGGACUGCAGAGACAGCUAGGAUGUUGGCUUGGAAGCAGCCAUUCAUUUAAAGAGUGCGUAACAGCUCACUAGUCGAGGAGUCCGGCGUGGAUAAUACUCGGGCAUAAACUGUUUACCGAAGCUAUGGAUGUAGAAAUACAUGGUAGGGGAGCAUUCCAACGGCGUCGAAGGUGAAGGAUGACCUUUGCUGGAGCUUUUGGAAACGCAAAUGUAGGUAUAAGUAACGAUAAAGGAGGUGAGAAACCUCCUCGCCGAAAGACUAAGGUUUCCUGAUCAACGUUAAUCGGAUCAGGGUAAGUCGGGACCUAAGGUUAAGCCGAACGGCGAUACCGAUGGAAGAAUGGUUUAAUAUUCCCAUACUACUUUAUGGAGCGAUGUGGAGACGGAGAAGUGAAAGUCCUGCCAUCUGACGGAAUAGGUGGUUGAAGAGUGUAGAUGUAGAUUCCUGUAGGCAAAUCCGCAGGGAGAGUCGACCUUGAUAGUAUGCCGCGUGCUUGCACAAGGCAAAAUGGACGUAAUCAGGCUCCCAAGAAAAUCCGCUAAGCAUAUUCAUAAAGUACCCGUACCGUAAACGGACACACGUAGUUGGGUUGAAAAUACUGAGGCGCUCGAGUGAUUCACGGUUAAGGAACUAGGCAAAUUGACCCUGUAACUUCGGGAUAAAGGGUCCCUACUGAGAGGUAGGGCGCAGAGAAUAGGUCCAGGCAACUGUUUAACAAAAACACAUGGCUGUGCGAAAUAGAAAUAUGAAGUAUACAGCCUGACACCUGCCCGGUGCUGGAAGGUUAAGAGGAGAGCUCAUCGCAAGAGAAGGCUUGAAUUGAAGCCCCAGUAAACGGCGGCCGUAACUAUAACGGUCCUAAGGUAGCGAAAUUCCUUGUCGGGUAAGUUCCGACCUGCACGAAUGGUGUAAUGAUCUGGACACUGUCUCAACCGUGAGCUCGGUGAAAUUGUAGUAUCGGUGAAGAUGCCGAUUACCCGCGAUGGGACGAAAAGACCCCGUGAACCUUUACUAUAGCUUUACAUUGAAUUUGGGCAAUCGAUGUGUAGGAUAGGCCGGAGGCUAUGAAUCAGGCACGCCAGUGUUUGUGGAGCCGCCGUUGAAAUACGGCCCUUUGGUUGUUUGAGUUCUAACCCGCAGAAGCGGGGACACUGUAUGGUGGGUAGUUUGACUGGGGUGGUCGCCUCCAAAAGAGUAACGGAGGCUUCUAAAGGUACCCUCAGACCGAUUGGUAACCGGUCGUAGAGUGUAAUGGCAUAAGGGUGCUUGACUGGGAGACAGACAAGUCGAUCAGGUAGGAAACUAGAGCAUAGUGAUCCGGUGGUUCCGCAUGGAAGGGCCAUCGCUCAAAGGAUAAAAGGUACUCCGGGGAUAACAGGCUGAUCGCUCCCAAGAGCUCAUAUCGACGGAGCGGUUUGGCACCUCGAUGUCGGCUCGUCACAUCCUGGGGCUGGAGAAGGUCCCAAGGGUUGGGCUGUUCGCCUAUUAAAGUGGCACGCGAGCUGGGGUCAGAACGUCGUGAGACAGUUCGGUCUCUAUCUAUCGUGGGCGUAGGAUAUUUGAGGGGCUCUGACACUAAUACGAGAGGACCGUGUUGG